rnacentral:rRNA from 1 species
AUUGAACGCUGGCGGCAUGCCUUACACAUGCAAGUCGAACGGUAACGGGCCUUCGGGUGCCGACGAGUGGCGAACGGGUGAGUAAUGCAUCGGGAACGUACCUUUCAGUGGGGGAUAACGUAGCGAAAGUUACGCUAAUACCGCAUAUUCUGUGAGCAGGAAAGCAGGGGAUCGCAAGACCUUGCGCUGAUUGAGCGGCCGAUGUCAGAUUAGCUAGUUGGUGAGGUAAAGGCUCACCAAGGCGACGAUCUGUAGCGGGUCUGAGAGGAUGAUCCGCCACACUGGAACUGAGACACGGUCCAGACUCCUACGGGAGGCAGCAGUGGGGAAUUUUGGACAAUGGGGGCAACCCUGAUCCAGCCAUGCCGCGUGAGUGAAGAAGGCCUUCGGGUUG